rnacentral:lncRNA from 10 species
GUAAGAUGUUUAUUGUAGCUUCCGGGAUGGAAACUUCUCUGCCAGCUUGUGGGUUGGGCAAGGACGACACUCCGGGCCCUACCGGCGGAAGCUCUGCUCCUGUCGUGCGUGGACCACGCAGCAAAUGGCCUUGGAGGCUGCUGGCAGCCAUCUUGUGACCAUGAGGCAAGUCAGCGCAGGCCGAAGCUGACGACGCGAAGACAAUGAGGAGAGGGAGAAAGAGCCGAUCUUUGGGAGAGUCUGCAGCAGGGAGACCCCGGCAGCUUCGAGUAUGGAGGGGAGACUCUGGCCGCCUGAGAGCUGGCUGCCAGGUGCUGAGCCGCCCCAAGAAAAAGCCCUCGUGGCAAGAAACUGAGGCCUCCAGCCAGCAGUCAGGGACCCGAGGCCUGAGACGGUGGAGGGUGAGCUUGCAAAGGGACCCCACAGUCGGGCCUUGAGAGGCCCACGGGCCUGGCCCACACCUCGGCUGCAGCCUUGUGAAGGUCCCUGAGCAGGGGACCCAGACUUCUGUCCUACAGAAACUUGGAGAUAAUAAAUGCCUGCUCUUCUACGGCACUGAGUGUCGGGUGAUUUGUUACGGGCAGUAGACAGCUAAUACCUGCCCCUUAGGACACCAAGUCCUCGCCUCCUGGAGGCCCAAGCCCCAGGGAGCCAUGCCUGACUUGCCGCCUGUCGAUGGGCCACGCGUUCCUUGUUGAUGCCAUUCUGGGGUCCCCUCACCCUGACAUACUAGGAGCCAGUUCCGAGGGAGGCUCUUCUGCCACCAACCCUGGCCCAGGGGGACACUGAGCUCCUUGAUGCUGAGGGCCGGUGGUUCCUUAUCGCCUGGCGACCAGCGUGUCCUCCGGGUCCUUUUCCAAUACCAGCACCUCCCAGCUCAAAAACACAACCCAGCACUCCUGUUCCUCCGUCUCCCGGCCCUCCCUCGACACUGGGCCGAGGCAGCCUGUGCACCUGCCCCAAGCUCCCAGGAGCUGACCCAGCAGCGGAUUCGGCCUGGUUCCCGGCAUCCUUACCGGGAUUUGGAAAAUGCUCCUUUCAAUCAAUAAAGGCCCCACGCGGGCCUUCUUCCGCCCUCCCCUCCAGCAUCCUCCAUCUCCAUUUCCACCCGUCCUCCCCGUCCUGCCAGGCCGCAGCUCCUUGCAGAAUAACCCACACCCUCCAGUCGCAGGGACAGAACACCCUAGUUACUGGCCUAGAAUUUUGCGGGGGACGAGGACAGGCAGACCCUAAGGAGGACACUCGCCUCAGGUGAGACCUUUGCAAGGUCCCGGCAGUGGGAGCCACUCCCGCCACUGCGGAGGGAACAGAGGGCAGGGAUCUAAGAGGCUUCUACCCAAAUACCGCAUCCAGGUCAUAGCGUCCCACCCCCCGCUGCCACCGGGGCCCUGACUUCAACACGGGAGGCAGACCAGACGCCACCGCCCUGGGAUCAGAGCUUGGGCCCGAGGGUUGGCCCCGUCUGCACUCUGGCUUUCGGAAUGAGGCUCGCUGUCAAUGCUGUGGUGGAGCUGCAUUCGUUUCCGGGGCUUCUAUAACAAGGUGCCAUAGAACAGGGCUCCAACAGCAGCCCAUUCUCCCACUGUCCUGGAGGCUGGAAGUUCGAGACCAAGGUGCCUGCAGAGUUGGUUCCUCCUGAGGCCUUUCUCCCUGGCUUGUAGAUGGCCCUCUUCUCCUGACUCCUCACACAGAGUCAUCCCUCUGUGUGUAUCUGUGUCCUAGUCUCUCUUCUUUUUCUUUUCGCUUCUUCUUUUUUUUUUUUUGAAGACAGGGUCUCUCUCUCUCUGUCACCCAGGCUGGAGUGCAGUGGUGUUAUCAUAGCUCACUGCAGCCUAGACCUCCCAGGCUCAGGUGAUGCUCCUACCUCAGCCUCCCAAGUAGCUGGGACCACAGACAUGUGUCACCACACCCGACUAAUUUUUUAUAUUUUGUUGUAGAGAUGGGGUCUCACUAUGUUGCCCAGGCUCAACUGGCUUUAAGCCAUCCUCCCACCUCGACCUUCCAAAGUGUUGGGAUUACAGGUGUGAGCCACUGAGCCUGGCCCUUAUCUCUUUUUCUCAGGACACGACUCAGGCCGGGCGUGGUGGCUCAUGCCUAUAAUCCCAGCACAUUGGGAGGCCAAGACGGGCGGAUCACCUGAGGUCAGGAGUUCCAGACCAGCCUGGUCAGCAUGGUGAAACCCCGUCUCUACUAAAAAUAUAAAAAUUAGCCAGGUGUGGUGGCCAGCGCCUGUAAUCCCAGCUACUCGGGAGGCUGAGGCAGGAGAAUCGCUUGAACCCAGGAGGCGGAGGUUGCAGUGAGCCAAGAUCGCACCAUUGCACUCUAGCCUGGGUGACAGAGUGGGACUCCGUCUCAAAAAAUAAAAAAAGUGGGGGAUGGGGGUGGGGGUGGGGGUGGGCCAGGCGCGGUGGCUCACGCCUGUAAUCCCAUCACUUUGGGAGGCCGAGACGGGUGGAUCACCUGAGGUCAGAAGUUCGAGACCAGCCUGACCAACAUGGGGAAACUUCAUCUCUACUAAAAAAUACAAAAAUUAGCCGGGUGUGGUGGUGGGUGCCUGUAAUCCCAGGUGCUCAGGAGGCGAAGCAGAAGAAUCACUUGAACCCAAGAGGUGGAGGUUGCAGUGAGCCAAGCUCGUGACACUGCACUCCAGACUGGGUGACAGAGCAAGACUUCAUUUCAAAGGAAAAAAAAAACAAGGCCAGCGGUCAUGUGGGAACAGGACUCGCUGUAAUCCCCUCUUUAAAGGCCAUAUCUGUAAAUACAG